UUUAUGGUGAUUUCUCACAUCUGCAGCCACAGAACCUGCUCCUGCACAGCACAGAGCCUGCAGAAGCACGUGCUGCGCUGUACGGAUGUGAAUGGCCAAGCUUGCGCUCGGUGUUAGGAGGAUCCUGCUGGGAAAACCAUCAGGAAGCCCAGUUAAAGUCAUGGGCAAAGCAGAAGGGCACAGAUGCAGGCACACACAGCAGCAGAAGAAAUGCAGAGCCAUGCAUUAAAGCCAACUGCAGUUACUGGGACAGAAUCCACUUUUGAAAGAUGUGUUUGCAUCCAAACCGCGCGCCAGCAGCAGAAGGUCUCCUGGACUGCUGCUGCCAUUGGCUGGUGAUGAACGGAGGCAGGAAAGAGAGGAGGUUCCUUUGCAAAGUCACGCAUGAAAAAAUAUUGCUGCUGUUGAGUUUGUCAGAUGGCGGCACUCGGGGCCCAGCUGGUGGAGCUGGGCAAGCAGCCCAGGAGAUGGAUUAUCCCGUAGGAGCCACCAAUGGGACCUGAUUCUGCCCUCAUCCAACCCCAUCAAUGCUUCAGGAGGUGUCAUUCGUCUUUGGGAGGUGUUGUGAGGCUGAGAUCACCUUCACGGGGCUUUGGGGGAGGUAACGUGUGUUGGCCUGGAGCAACGACCGCUGCUCUCCAGCUUGGGCUGCGGGCAGGCAGAGCAACAGCAGCGUCCACCUCUGCUCCUCCAAGCUUGGAUCAUUGCACUGAUUCGGAGUGACCCCUGCCUCAGCUGCGAAGGAGAGAACCUGUAGGAAAGCUCAUGCUGAGCUCUGCCACAAGGCUCUGGUGUCCACACAGAGCUGGGCGAGCAGUGGGGGCCAGCCCUGACCUUUACUGUAGCAAGGGCGCCUCCGCUGCCCCCCUCCCUGUCCCUCUGCAGGGGCUUUUCCCGUGCAAUUCAGGUUGUUCCACGGAGCAGGCUCAGGGGCUGCCUGCUAAAUCAGACAAUUAAAUCCUUGAGUCCGGGU